CCACAUGGAUAGAGAUUGCUCAAAAGGAAAGAAGAAAAUUGGUUACAGUGUCAUAUCAGAGACCUUCCACAGUGAUCUUCGGCCUCACUUCUUCCAACAUUGAAGGAAUGAAGAAUCUUAUAGAAUAUUUUGUGCUUGUUUGUUUGUUUGUCAGACAGAGAUUCAACCCUAACAUCUUAAAAGGUGAAGAAACUUUACGUUCUUUCACGCUGCAUUCCAAAUGAAGACUAAUUCAUACGACAACAUCGAGUAUUUACAGAGGAAGAGGCAAACAAAGGGGAACGGAGGAAUUAGGAAAGCUUCCAUCCCAUUGACUUAACCUCCUUCCCCAUCUUAACCUUCAUAUCCAAAAUCUUAACAAUUUCCUAAAUUAAAACAAAAAAAACACCAAAAAAUUCCUGAGAAAGAUCGAGCUAUUACACUACCAAGAUUUUUCAGAUAUUUAAACAAAAUGCCCAUUAACACUUCACAUACAUGAAUUUCACUAGGCAAACACAUGCAACUACAAUCAUAGACGACUGACUCGAACUAAAUUUGCACUCAAAAUCUCCCGAAACAAAGAGAGCCCAUCAAACCGCUGCCACUCCCUGGCCAUUCCCGUCCAUCAAACAAAACCUUGAAGGCUUGGGCACGAAGUUCCUCCUCCUACACAGUUCUUGGCUGGUUGGUCUGACGAUUUGCAUGAGGAGGGCCCUCAUCGACCUCGCCUUCGCUGCUCCCUUGGACUCCGCCGAGCCAGAGUGAGCUCCCGAAUGCUUCCGGGCACCACGGUGCAGCUUGCACCGGAAUGAUCCGGGGUGCGUCGUCGGCGAGCAAAGGCAGGACCGAGACGGUGUCUGAGGCUUGCUUGUAGAUGAAGAGGUAUUAGGAUCCAUGGACCAUGUGGGCGUCGAGGUCCAACUUCAGAUGGAGUUUGAGGUGGGGGCGGCGGCGCCUUGUUCCGUUGUUCAUAGUUUUUUUCUUUUUAGUUUACUAUGUUAUACUCAUCAAUUCUCCUUGUGCUAAUCCAAAGGGGCAAAGUGGUUCUGACGCGUGUUUUUGUCGUUGUCAACAGUUGUUAAGUUGUAACAGCGUUAUCAGCUUAUCAUAAUUG
rnacentral:lncRNA from 1 species